rnacentral:misc_RNA from 1 species
GAUGAAGAACGUAGCGAAUUGCGAUAAGUAAUGUGAAUUGCAGAAUUCAGUGAAUCAUCGAAUCUUUGAACGCACCUUGCGCCCUUUGGCCAUUCCGAAGGGCAUGCCUGUUUGAGUAUCAUGAACACCUCAACUCUUUAUGGUUUUCCAUGAUGAGCUUGGACUCUGGGGGUUUUGCUGGCUCACAGUCGGCUCCUCUGAAAUGAAUCAGCUUACCAGUGUUUGGUGGGUAUCAUAGGUGUGAUAACUAUCUACGCUUGUGGUUUUUCCACCAGGUAACCUUCAGCAGUGGAGGUUCGCUGGAGCUCAUAGAUGUCUCUCCUCAGUGAGGACAGCCCUUUGAAUGUUUGAUCUCAAAUCAGGUAGGACUACCCGCUGAACUUAAGCAUAUCAAUAAGCGGAGGA